UCAUCAUCGGCAUUGUUAUAUAUAAUUGGCAUUUGAUAAAUUCUUCUUUCAUAGAAAAAGGUACAGUCUGAUGCUGCAUUACUUAAACACAAUCUAGAAGGUUGCAACUUUGCAGUGUGAGGAACAAGUGGUUGCAUGGUUCGUGUAUAUGAUUAAAGUAUUAAAAAAAACAUCCCUUAAAAAUUAUUAGAAAAAACAAAAUCCACAGAUCAAACAAUGAGAAUAAUCUAAACGCUGUCAAUUCUUGGUUAAGCACUUUGUUGAUAUUAUAGUUAGGAUAUAGCUUACCUGAGCUGUGCCUUCAUUCAGAAAGUAGAUUCUUUUUGGCCUUGUCGCUUUGUUUUACUAGAAAAAAAAGAUAACGCAAGGUUGUUUCAUCUCAGAAUUUUGCACACCACAAAGUCUAUCCAACCUUGCACCAUUAUUUUCACUGCAAUUAGUUGUACCUUUUGAAUUGUAAAUUCUAAAUCCUAAUUGGCAGAAUGUUAGAAAAGUGGCUGGCUACUGUGCAAAGUGAUUGUGGUUGUUCUGAUAAUACU
rnacentral:lncRNA from 1 species